UACGUAGGGUGCAAGCGUUGUCCGGAAUUAUUGGGCGUAAAGGGCUCGUAGGCGGUCCGUCGCGUCGGGAGUGAAAACUCAGGGCUCAACCCUGAGCGUGCUUCCGAUACGGGCGGACUAGAGGUAUGCAGGGGAGAACGGAAUUCCUGGUGUAGCGGUGGAAUGCGCAGAUAUCAGGAGGAACACCGGUGGCGAAGGCGGUUCUCUGGGCAUUACCUGACGCUGAGGAGCGAAAGCAUGGGGAGCGAACAGG
rnacentral:rRNA from 1 species